rnacentral:misc_RNA from 1 species
GAAAUGCGAUAAGUAAUGUGAAUUGCAGAAUUCCGUGAAUCAUCGAAUCUUUGAACGCACAUUGCGCCCUCUGGUAUUCCGGGGGGCAUGCCUGUCCGAGCGUCAUUGCGAACCCCUCAAGCACGGCUUGUGUGAUGGGCCCUCCCGCGUCUUGGUCGUCAAGACGGGCCCGAAAUGCAGUGGCGGCUUCGCGGUUAUCCGAUCAGCCAGAGCAUAUGGGGACUUUCUCUCUGUCACACGCCCGCGGCGCGGACCGACGCCUGUCGACCUUCAUUCAUCGUUUUCUCGGUUGACCUCGGAUCAGGUAGAGAUACGCGCUGAACAUAAGC